rnacentral:rRNA from 1 species
GACGAACGCUGGCGGCGUGCUUAACACAUGCAAGUCGAACGGACAGACAGAGAGCUUGCUCUCUUGAAGUUAGUGGCGAACGGGUGAGUAACGCGUAAUCAACCUGCCCUUCAGAGGGGGAUAACAACGGGAAACCGUUGCUAAUACCGCGUACGAUUCAUGAACGGCAUCGUUUAUGAAUGAAAGGUGGCCUCUAUGUAUAAGCUAUCGCUGAAGGAGGGGAUUGCGUCUGAUUAGCUAGUUGGAGGGGUAACGGCCCACCAAGGCAAUGAUGACUAGCCGGUCUGAGAGGAUGAACGGCCACAUUGGGACUGAGACACUGCCCAAACUCCGACGGGAGGCAGCAGUGGGGAAUCUUCCGCAAUGGAUGAAAGUCUGACGGAGCAACGCCGCGUGAGUGAUGAAGGUCUUCGGAUUGUAAAGCUCUGUUAAUCGGGACGAAAGAGUUCUGCGUGAAUAAUGCAGAAAAGUGACGGUACCGGAAUAGAAAGCCACGGCUAACUACGUGCCAGCCGCCGCCGUAA